UAUUGUUUUCAGAGUGGAGAGAUCUACAGACCAAGUCAUCAAGCCGGUCAAUGUGGGAGCUCUAUCAAAAUGGGUUGGGAAGAUACCUCCAGAUGUUUUACAAGACAUGGCAGUGAUUGCACCCAUGCUUGCCAAGCUUGGAUAUGACCCAUAUGCCAACCCACCUAACUAUGGAAAACCUGAUCCCAAAAUCCUUGAAAACACUAGAAGGGUCUAUAAAGGAGAAUUUCAGCUACCUGAAUUUCUUAAAGAAAAACCUCAGACUGAGCAAGUGGAGUAGCAGAGCCAGGAACCUCUUCACAUACGUGAGGGAAGGCUGCUGCCUUUUCAACGGCAGAGAAAUUUCUAGGGCUGGCUGCCCCUGCUGAGGUCAGCGGAGCAGAGGUCUGUGCCGUGACCCGCAUCUCCUGUUCAUUCUCCAGUCUCCUCCCACUCAGCCGGCGGGAGGUCAGCACACCUCUGGACCAUCCCAAGUGACCUGCUUCCCGAGUGCAGCGCUCUUGAUCCUGACCCAUGCCCAGCCCCGCGGGUCAGAAGCCCAGGGCGACGUGUGCUUUCUGUUAACACUGCUCUGGUUCUCAUCGUUUCUUCCCAGAUUCCAAGCUUCGUUUUCAAGGGGAGGGUUUUAAAAUGGGUUUCUGUAAGCAAAAUUGGGCAGUUUCGUCUUGGAAUAGGUUGUCUGUACAUGUUCUAAUGUUUUGUAGAACACUUGUACCUGUUUAAAUGUAUUGAUGUGGGUAAUAUUAAAUCUUAAUUAUUUAAAUAAUUCAUUGUAUUAUUUCCGAGAAGUUGAGGGAUUAUCUCAUACAUUUACAACUUGAUGACUUUUGUAUUUUAUUUUUCAAAAUAAAAGCUUUAAAU
rnacentral:lncRNA from 1 species